rnacentral:lncRNA from 1 species
UUGAGCUCAUUGCUUUUUGCUGCCUCUGGUGGUCCUGGUUCCUGGUGACCAGAAUGAAACCUGCUGGGACACCCCACUCUCUCUGAAGCCUGCAAAUGAGAUCCUGGGAAAGCUGGCAGAAGGCGCAAAGUUGAGAAUUCUCACCAAAGUUGGCUCUUCCAGAUCUCUCCCUGUGGCUCCUGGUUGAGGGAGGAAGAUACCAUCUCACAUUGUCCCUCCCUUUCCAAAUUCAGACUGGCUGGCAAAAAGCAUUUGCAAGAAUUAGAUCUUUGAAUUGUGACUCAUGAAUUUGCUUUCAGGUGAAACGCUCUGACUGUAGUAGACUAUCAGCUUUGUUCUCUGUGCAUUCAACUUGGUUGUCUCCAAUCAGGCAGAAGUGUGACACUGCAAAUAGUCUAUCUUUUCUUUUGGCUCGGGAGUGGCAAGUGGAUCUUCUUAACAAUGACUUCAACCUCUCCAAUGGCUAGCAAAAGUGUCACUGUCAGCUGUGAUUUUUUUUCCCCAAAAUACUACUUUCAAAGGGCUGAAGGUCAAGCUAACACUAAUUCAUUAUAGACAAAACACUUAUCUCUUAUGUAAUCUUAGACUUGGUGAAAUAUAUUUUCUUUUCAUCUAUUCUUUGCUCAAAAUAUCAUGCACAAUAAAACAAUACAUAUUCUUGAUUACUAUAAAAUGAAAAUUUUGGAAGAGCAUAUCUGACCAUAAUAAAAACAUCAAGAACAAUUUAACUACGUGCAAAUGUAAUUUUAACAUGGCAGAAUAUAUUGUGUUUGGACAAAGUAUGUGAGCAUAUAUAUUUUCAAAGGGUCACUGCUGCCUUUAUAAGGGAUGUUUUCCAUAUUCCGAAUGUAUAAUACAAUUGAGAUGAACAACAGCAUUUUCAUAUUCUCUAAGUCUAUCCCAAUUUUGACCUUCUAAAGCUUGACUACCUCCAAUCUAAUCUGAAUUUAUGCACUAUGUUUAUAAGCCAAAAUUAAAUGUAUAUUUAGUUUAUAAAUAUAUCAAUUCCUUCAACAUCAAACAUUGGUCACUUAAUUUUUCUUAUGUAUAAAUUACUACUUUACGAUAGUUGAAAACAUUUUUCCUGUGUAGACUUUAUCUUCCCCAUCUGGGUUGUAAGUUCCCAAAGGCUGGGGAGAUUUUGAAAUUUUACUUGCUACUUUGAGUUGAUUUAACUGCUAGGAAAUGACAGAGUAUUUUUAAUUUAUAUUAUGCCUAAGCAAUUUUUAAUAUUUUCUUCCCCUGAACAUAUUUUAGUAAAUUCAGUGUAUUUUAAUUGGUAUAAACACCAGCAACAAUUCCAAUAAUAGUAAAAGUAAAAUAUAUCAUAUAAAUCAGUAUUAAAAAUUUAACAUAU